rnacentral:rRNA from 1 species
GACGAACGCUGGCGGCGUGCUUAACACAUGCAAGUCGAACGAAGUGGCGAACGGGUGAGUAAUACGUGGGUACCCUGCCCUCCUUUUUGGGAUAAGCCUUUGAAACGGGGUCUAAUACCGAAUAAAGGGGGAUGGGCUCGCGGCCUAUCAGCUGGUUGGUGGGGUGAUGGCCUACCAAGGCGGUGACGGGUAGCCGGCCUGAGAGGGGGACCGGGGACGUUGGGCAGGAGAUACGGCCCAGACUGCUACGGGAGGAAGCAGUGGGGGAUAUUGCAAAAUGGGCGAAAGACAGAUGCAGCGACGCCGCGUGGGGGAUGAAGGCUUUCGGGUUGUAAACUUGGUUCGCAAGCGAACGGGUAGGUGGAGAAGAAGCGCCGGCUAACUACGUGCCAGCAGCCGCGGUAAUAC